AGUGGAGCAAAGCUGGAUUACAACGUUUACGAAGAAACUGCCUGAAUCAUCCUGUAAUAGCUGUGUGUAGUCUUUGCCCGCCGCUGGCGGGCUUUUUUAUGU
rnacentral:sRNA from 1 species